UUAAGCGACUAAGCGUACACGGUGGAUGCCCUGGCAGUCAGAGGCGAUGAAGGACGUGCUAAUCUGCGAAAAGCGUCGGUAAGGUGAUAUGAACCGUUAUAACCGGCGAUGUCCGAAUGGGGAAACCCAGUGUGAUUCGUCACACUAUCGUUAACUGAAUACAUAGGUUAACGAGGCGAACCGGGGGAACUGAAACAUCUAAGUACCCCGAGGAAAAGAAAUCAACCGAGAUUCCCCCAGUAGCGGCGAGCGAACGGGGAGCAGCCCAGAGUCUGAAUCAGCUUGUGUGUUAGUGGAACGGUCUGGAAAGUCCGACGGUACAGGGUGAUAGUCCCGUACACCAAAAUGCACAGGUUGUGAACUCGAAGAGUAGGGCGGGACACGUGGUAUCCUGUCUGAAUAUGGGGGGACCAUCCUCCAAGGCUAAAUACUCCUGACUGACCGAUAGUGAACCAGUACCGUGAGGGAAAGGCGAAAAGAACCCCGGCGAGGGGAGUGAAAAAGAACCUGAAACCGUGUACGUACAAGCAGUGGGAGCACCUUCGGGUGUGACUGCGUACCUUUUGUAUAAUGGGUCAGCGACUUAUAUUCUGUAGCAAGGUUAACCGUAUAGGGGAGCCGCAGGGAAACCGAGUCUUAACUGGGCGUUAAGUUGCAGGGUAUAGACCCGAAACCCGGUGAUCUAGCCAUGGGCAGGUUGAAGGUUGGGUAACACUAACUGGAGGACCGAACCGACUAAUGUUGAAAAAUUAGCGGAUGACUUGUGGCUGGGGGUGAAAGGCCAAUCAAACCGGGAGAUAGCUGGUUCUCCCCGAAAGCUAUUUAGGUAGCGCCUCGUGAACUCAUCUUCGGGGGUAGAGCACUGUUUCGGCUAGGGGGUCAUCCCGACUUACCAACCCGAUGCAAACUACGAAUACCGAAGAAUGUUAUCACGGGAGACACACGGCGGGUGCUAACGUCCGUCGUGAAGAGGGAAACAACCCAGACCGCCAGCUAAGGUCCCAAAGUCAUGGUUAAGUGGGAAACGAUGUGGGAAGGCACAGACAGCCAGGAUGUUGGCUUAGAAGCAGCCAUCAUUUAAAGAAAGCGUAAUAGCUCACUGGUCGAGUCGGCCUGCGCGGAAGAUGUAACGGGGCUAAACCAUGCACCGAAGCUGCGGCAGCGACACUAUGUGUUGUUGGGUAGGGGAGCGUUCUGUAAGCCUGCGAAGGUGACCUGUGAGGGUUGCUGGAGGUAUCAGAAGUGCGAAUGCUGACAUAAGUAACGAUAAAGCGGGUGAAAAGCCCGCUCGCCGGAAGACCAAGGGUUCCUGUCCAACGUUAAUCGGGGCAGGGUGAGUCGACCCCUAAGGCGAGGCCGAAAGGCGUAGUCGAUGGGAAACAGGUUAAUAUUCCUGUACUUGGUGUUACUGCGAAGGGGGGACGGAGAAGGCUAUGUUAGCCGGGCGACGGUUGUCCCGGUUUAAGCAUGUAGGCUGGUUGUCCAGGCAAAUCCGGAUAAUCAAGGCUGAGGUGUGAUGACGAGGCACUACGGUGCUGAAGUAACAAAUGCCCUGCUUCCAGGAAAAGCCUCUAAGCAUCAGGUAACAUCAAAUCGUACCCCAAACCGACACAGGUGGUCAGGUAGAGAAUACCAAGGCGCUUGAGAGAACUCGGGUGAAGGAACUAGGCAAAAUGGUGCCGUAACUUCGGGAGAAGGCACGCUGGUGUGUAGGUGAAGCCCCUGCGGGUGGAGCUGAGACCAGUCGAAGAUACCAGCUGGCUGCAACUGUUUAUUAAAAACACAGCACUGUGCAAACACGAAAGUGGACGUAUACGGUGUGACGCCUGCCCGGUGCCGGAAGGUUAAUUGAUGGGGUUAUCCGUAAGGAGAAGCUCUUGAUCGAAGCCCCGGUAAACGGCGGCCGUAACUAUAACGGUCCUAAGGUAGCGAAAUUCCUUGUCGGGUAAGUUCCGACCUGCACGAAUGGCGUAAUGAUGGCCAGGCUGUCUCCACCCGAGACUCAGUGAAAUUGAACUCGCUGUGAAGAUGCAGUGUACCCGCGGCAAGACGGAAAGACCCCGUGAACCUUUACUAUAGCUUGACACUGAACAUUGAGCCUUGAUGUGUAGGAUAGGUGGGAGGCUUUGAAGCGUGGACGCCAGUCUGCGUGGAGCCAACCUUGAAAUACCACCCUUUAAUGUUUGAUGUUCUAACGUUGGCCCCUGACCGGGGUUGCGGACAGUGUCUGGUGGGUAGUUUGACUGGGGCGGUCUCCUCCCAAAGCGUAACGGAGGAGCACGAAGGUUAGCUAAUCCUGGUCGGACAUCAGGAGGUUAGUGCAAUGGCAUAAGCUAGCUUGACUGCGAGCGUGACGGCGCGAGCAGGUGCGAAAGCAGGUCAUAGUGAUCCGGUGGUUCUGAAUGGAAGGGCCAUCGCUCAACGGAUAAAAGGUACUCCGGGGAUAACAGGCUGAUACCGCCCAAGAGUUCAUAUCGACGGCGGUGUUUGGCACCUCGAUGUCGGCUCAUCACAUCCUGGGGCUGAAGUAGGUCCCAAGGGUAUGGCUGUUCGCCAUUUAAAGUGGUACGCGAGCUGGGUUUAGAACGUCGUGAGACAGUUCGGUCCCUAUCUGCCGUGGGCGCUGGAGAAUUGAGGGGGGCUGCUCCUAGUACGAGAGGACCGGAGUGGACGCAUCACUGGUGUUCGGGUUGUCAUGCCAAUGGCACUGCCCGGUAGCUAAAUGCGGAAGAGAUAAGUGCUGAAAGCAUCUAAGCACGAAACUUGCCCCGAGAUGAGUUCUCCCUGAGACUUUAAGUCUCCUGAAGGAACGUUAAAGACGAUGACGUUGAUAGGCCGGGUGUGUAAGCGCAGCGAUGCGUUGAGCUAACCGGUACUAAUGAACCGUGAGGCUUAACCUU
rnacentral:rRNA from 2 species